CGUGUGGAAGAAGGCCUUAUGGUUGUAAAGCACUUUAAGCGAGGAGGAGGCUACUUUAGUUAAUACCUAGAGAUAGUGGACGUUACUCGCAGAAUAAGCACCGGCUAACUCUGUGCCAGCAGCCGCGGUAAUACAGAGGGUGCAAGCGUUAAUCGGAUUUACUGGGCGUAAAGCGCGCGUAGGCGGCUAAUUAAGUCAAAUGUGAAAUCCCCGAGCUUAACUUGGGAAUUGCAUUCGAUACUGGUUAGCUAGAGUGUGGGAGAGGAUGGUAGAAUUCCAGGUGUAGCGGUGAAAUGCGUAGAGAUCUGGAGGAAUACCGAUGGCGAAGGCAGCCAUCUGGCCUAACACUGACGCUGAGGUGCGAAAGCAUGGGGAGCAAACAGGAUUAGAUACCCUGGUAGUCCAUGCCGUAAACGAUGUCUACUAGCCGUUGGGGCCUUUGAGGCUUUAGUGGCGCAGCUAACGCGAUAAGUAGACCGCCUGGGGAGUACGGUCGCAAGACUAAAACUCAAAUGAAUUGACGGGGGCCCGCACAAGCGGUGGAGCAUGUGGUUUAAUUCGAUGCAACGCGAAGAACCUUACCUGGCCUUGACAUAGUAAGAACUUUCCAGAGAUGGAUUGGUGCCUUCGGGAACUUACAUACAGGUGCUGCAUGGCUGUCGUCAGCUCGUGUCGUGAGAUGUUGGGUUAAGUCCCGCAACGAGCGCAACCCUUUUCCUUAUUUGCCAGCGAGUAAUGUCGGGAACUUUAAGGAUACUGCCAGUGACAAACUGGAGGAAGGCGGGGACGACGUCAAGUCAUCAUGGCCCUUACGGCCAGGGCUACACACGUGCUACAAUGGUCGGUACAAAGGGUUGCUACCUAGCGAUAGGAUGCUAAUCUCAAAAAGCCGAUCGUAGUCCGGAUUGGAGUCUGCAACUCGACUCCAUGAAGUCGGAAUCGCUCAGUACAUCGCGGAUUCAG
rnacentral:rRNA from 1 species